rnacentral:misc_RNA from 1 species
AUUGGUUUAUUUGGUUGGCGGGCUCCAYGUUUGUGCAUUGAACCGUUCACCGAUAAGCCUCUUCAAUGUUUGCGCCAAGAGCUAUUGCCUUGGGCGAGUAUUGGUUUUCUGUGUUGUAUUCCAAUUGAAGGUAUACAUACCAAUAAAUUGCUCAUUUUCGCCUAACACUUUUACGGGUGUUUGGUGGACCCAUGUAGCUAGAUUCGUUCCCCAAACACAAUGUCAAAGCGCCAUUGUUAUGGAGUACGAUUUCUAGUUGUGCUSUGGGAUGCAGAAAGUUUAGUGGGGAUAGGCGUUUUGAUACGUUGUUAUCCYUAUUUAAGCAUUUUAUGCUAAGCAUGAACGACAGCUGGUUACGAKUUGACYUUCYUUGUAAAGGGAGGGMUCAUGCGUACUAGUGUCGCUCGAGGAGUGCUACCUGGUUGAUCCUGCCAGUAGUCAUAUGCUUGUCUCAAAGAUUAAGCCAUGCAUGUGUAAGUAUGA